UACGUAGGGUGCGAGCGUUAAUCGGAAUUACUGGGCGUAAAGCGUGCGCAGGCGGCUUUGCAAGACAGAUGUGAAAUCCCCGGGCUCAACCUGGGAACUGCAUGUGUGACUGCAAGGCUAGAGUACGGCAGAGGGGGAUGGAAUUCCGCGUGUAGCAGUGAAAUGCGUAGAUAUGCGGAGGAACACCAAUGGCGAAGGCAAUCCCCUGGGCCUGUACUGACGCUCAUGCACGAAAGCGUGGGGAGCAAACAGG
rnacentral:rRNA from 1 species